GAUGAAGAACGCAGCGAAAUGGGAUAAGUAAUGUGAAUUGCAGAAUUCAGUGAAUCAUCGAAUCUUUGAACGCACAUUGCGCCCAUUAGUAUUCUAGUGGGCAUGCCUGUUCGAGCGUCAUUUCAACCAUCAAGCCCUAUUUGCUUGGCGUUGGGAGACUUGUAGGUCUGGCCUGCAAGCUCCUGAAAUAGAUCGGCGGAGUCGUGGCGACCCUCAGCGUAGUAAUUCUUCUCGCUUUAGGUGUCGGCGCUGGCGUUUAGCCGUUAAACCCCCUAUUUCUUUUAGUCUUGACCUCGGAUCAGGGAGGAAUACCCGCUGAACUUAAGCAUAUCAAUAAGCGGAGGA
rnacentral:misc_RNA from 1 species